rnacentral:rRNA from 1 species
UACGUAGGGUGCGAGCGUUGUCCGGAAUUACUGGGCGUAAAGAGCUCGUAGGUGGUUUGUCGCGUUGUUCGUGAAAACUCACAGCUCAACUGUGGGCUUGCGGUCGAUACGGGCAUCACUGGAGUUCGGCAGGGGAGACUGGAAUCCUGGUGUAGCGGUGAAAUGCGCAGAUAUCAGGAGGAACACCGGUGGCGAAGGCGGGUCUCUGGGCCGAU